CUAACUCAAAUUUGUAUGGAGUUGGAACGUUUGCCUAUGUAUUCCGCUAGGGGCGAUGUUCCAAACGCAUACAAAUAUUUGAUUUA
rfam:Bombyx mori DNA, contig: Bm_scaf21_contig14894, strain: p50T/Dazao, build 2, whole genome shotgun sequence.